rnacentral:rRNA from 1 species
CCUACGGGUGGCAGCAGUGGGGAAUAUUGGGCAAUGGGCGCAAGCCUGACCCAGCAACGCCGCGUGAAGGACGAAGGCUUUCGGGUUGUAAACUUCUUUUAUCAGGGACGAACCAAGUGACGGUACCUGAUUCAUAAGCCCCGGCUAACUACGUGCCAGCAGCCGCGGUAAUACGUAGGUGGCAAGCGUUCUCAGGAUUUACUGGGUGUAAAGGGCGUGUAGGCGGGAGUGCAAGUCAGAUGUGAAAACUAUGGGCUCAACCCAUAGCCGGAAUUUGAAACUGGACUUCUUGAGUGAUGGAGAGGCAAUCGGAAUUCCGGGUGGAGCGGUGAAAUGAGUAGAUAUACGGAGGAACACCAGUGGCGAAGGCGGAUUGCUGGACAGUAACUGACGCUGAGGCGCGAAAGCGUGGGGAGCAAACAGGAUUAGAUACCCGAGUAGUC